GGGCAGGUGACGAAAUUGGCAAACGUACUAGCCUUAGGAGCUAGCGCCGCAAGGCUUGUGGGUUCGAGUCCCACCCUGCCGA
rnacentral:tRNA from 1 species